AUACUGGCCGGAGACCGAUAGCGCACAAGUAGAGUGAUCGAAAGAUGAAAAGCACUUUGAAAAGAGAGUUAAACAGCACGUGAAAUUGUUGAAAGGGAAGCGCUUGCGACCAGACUCGCCCGCGGGGUUCAGCCGGCAUUCGUGCCGGUGUACUUCCCCGUGGGCGGGCCAGCGUCGGUUUGGGCGGCCGGUCAAAGGCCCCUGGAAUGUAGUGCCCUCCGGGGCACCUUAUAGCCAGGGGUGCAAUGCGGCCAGCCUGGACCGAGGAACGCGCUUCGGCACGGACGCUGGCAUAAUGGUCGUAAACGACCCGUCUUGAAACACGGACC
rnacentral:rRNA from 1 species